UAAUUGAAGAGGUUUGGAAAGACCCACCACAGAAGGUAAUAGUCCUGUAUGUUAAACGAGAAGACUUCAGAUAUGAUCCAGAGUACCACGGGACACGUGAAACCCUGUGGGAAGCAGGAGGGACCACCCUCCAAGGCUAAAUACUACCUAGUGACCGAUAGCGUAUAGUACCGUGAGGGAAAGGUGAAAAGAACCCCGGGAGGGGAGUGAAAUAGAACCUGAAACCCUGCACUUACAAGCUGUGGAAGCACAUUUCUUGUGUGACCGCGUACUUUUUGUAGAACGGGCCAACGAGUUACGUUAAGUAGCAAGGUUAAGCACUUAAGGUGUGGAGCCGUAGCGAAAGCGAGUUUUAACUGAGCGUUCAGUUACUUGACGUAGACCCGAAACCGGGCGACCUACCCAUGAGCAGGAUGAAGCGAAAGUAAAAUUUCGUGGAGGUCCGAACCCACGAGCGUUGAAAAGCUCGGGGAUGACUUGUGGGUAGCGGUGAAAUUCCAAUCGAGCCCGGAGAUAGCUGGUUCUCCCCGAAAUAGCUUUAGGGCUAGCCUCAAGGUGAGAGAUACGGAGGUAGAGCACUGAAUGUCCUAGGGGGUAUUGCACCUACCGAAGACUAUCAAACUCCGAAUGCCGUCAUCUUAUACUUGGGAGUCAGACUGUGGGUGAUAAGAUUCAUAGUCGAAAGGGCAACAGCCCAGAUCGUCAGCUAAGGUCCCUAAAUGUAAGUUAAGUGGUAAAGGAUGUGGGAUUGCACAGACAACCAGGAUGUUGGCUUAGAAGCAGCCACUCAUUCAAAGAGUGCGUAAUAGCUCACUGGUCGAGUGAUCCUGCGCCGAAGAUUUCCGGGGCUAAAACUUACUACCGAAGCUACGGCAUCAGUAAUGAUGGGUAGGGGAGCUUCCCAUACGGGUUGAAGCAUGACCGUAAGGACAUGUGGACAGUAUGGGAGUGAGAAUGUUGGCAUGAGUAGCGAGAUGUGGGUGAGAAUCCCACAGGCCGUAAACCCAAGGUUUCCAGGGGAAGGUUCGUCCGCCCUGGGUUAGUCGGGACCUAAGCUGAGGCCGAAAGGCGUAGGUGAUGGACAACAGGUUGAUAUUCCUGUAC
rnacentral:rRNA from 1 species